rnacentral:lncRNA from 1 species
CCCUCUCCUUCUCUCUUCUACCUAUUUACUAAAUCCAAACUCUCUUCUCUGUUAGUAAAAGAAAACCUUAAUCCAACAAAUUAAAACAACAACAAAAGCGAUCCCUUUUUUUUACCGAUUCAAACAUACGCAAGCGAAAACUUAAGAGUUACAAAAUAACCAAACAAAUCACAACAAUAUGGUAAGAGAUACGCAAUAUUUCUACAAAAAGGCAUAAGGAUUAAUGCAGAAGGAAGUGAUAUAAAGUUCUCCGGAAAAUAGAGUUUCCGACGAGCGUACCGGCGAUAUGACCCAACCUCGAGGUAUUUUGAUUUCUUCUCCCUUUCUUCCUUCUGAACUUUGGAUCCUCCUCUUCUACGCCACGUCAUUGCUGUUCCAAGUGCUCGUGGUAGGAUAAAGGUAUCCAGGUACUUUCUUCCUCAAUGAAUCGUCUCCUCGAAAUGUUUUGCUCGUGUAUUGUCGUCGGUCCUUACUGAGAGAGUUUAAGCUCGUCUUUUUCAGAUUUUCAGUGGGAAGAUCCGAAAAGAACUUUUAAAUGGAGCUUUGGUGAGGGUUGAGUUUCGAUUUUCGCAGGGUAACGGUGCAGAAAUUCCGGUUGUCAUCAGUGAUCCAGUGCCUCCUUUUUAUAGGGUCGAGUACGAGGUUCAAUCGUCCUCAUCUCUUAUGAGCUGGCAAAAAUCUGCGGAUGAAUCAAUCCGUUAAAAAAAAUCUCUUCCAGAUUUGGUGGUCCUUCCUGUUAACGUGGUCCCAAAAUGCAGGUGUUUAAGGUUUUGUCUGUAGUGAACGAGAAAGCGACGGGGUGCGGUGAAAUUCUUCUUUACUGCAGUAAGAACUUUAACUUGAUAUUUAUGUUUCUAAUCCUUUUAU